GUACCCUUGGUGUACGGUAACACACGUCUUACGUCUGCUUCGUCACAAAGAAGGAUUUGAGACGAACCCGGGGUUCGAGUCCCCGAGGGUGCA